UAAAUGACUCUCGGCAACGGAUAUCUCGGCUCUUGCAUCGAUGAAGAACGUAGCGAAAUGCGAUACUUGGUGUGAAUUGCAGAAUCUCGCGAACCAUCAAUUCUUUGAACGCAAGUUGCGCCCGAAGCCAUUCGGCCGAGGGCACGCCUGCCUGGGUGUCGUGA
rnacentral:rRNA from 1 species